rnacentral:lncRNA from 10 species
UGGUGGUCCUAGCUACUCAGAAGAGGCUAAAGUGAGAGGAUCACUUGAGCCCAGGAGGUUGAGGCUUCAGUGAGCUGUGACCAAGUUCUGCACUGUAGCCUGGGGAACAGAAUGAGACUCUGUCUCAAAUAAAUGUAUAAGAAAUAAAUAAAAUAAAAUAAAGCACUGUUGGAGUUAUUUUUCUAGUAGAAGAAGAGAAAGCUGAGGAUUGAAAUGGGCAGAGUGGUGACUUAAUCAAUAUCCAGAUUGUGAACACUUAAAGGCAGGGUUUCUGUCACCUUUGUCUCCAAUGAAAGCCCAGUACAGUAUCUGGCCCCAGCUCAGUGAUUAAUAAAUGAGGGAGGAGCUGUCAUCAGGCAUUUGAGGGACACUGCUGUCUCCUCUGGGACUCUGGGUAUUUAUGCAGACACUCC